rnacentral:rRNA from 1 species
UACGUAGGGUGCAAGCGUUGUCCGGAAUUAUUGGGCGUAAAGAGCUCGUAGGCGGUUUGUCGCGUCUGCUGUGAAAUCUUAGGGCUUAACCCUGAGCUUGCAGUGGGUACGGGCAGACUAGAGUGCGGUAGGGGAGACUGGAAUUCCUGGUGUAGCGGUGAAAUGCGCAGAUAUCAGGAGGAACACCGGUGGCGAAGGCGGGUCUCUGGGCCGUUGCUGACGCUGAGGCGCGACAGCGUGGGGAGCAAACAGG